CCCCUCUCAGAAUGACACCUGGAGAGUUUCCAGUACUCUACUGAUCUCUGCUACGGGAGGGAGAGUGAAGCAGAAGCAUACCCAUUCCAUUCCUAGCAUGGGCAGUGGCUAGCGAGUGGAAGGCAAUCUGCUACAAGU